rnacentral:tRNA from 1 species
AGCAGAGUGGCUUAGUGGAAAGAUCCUGGGCUUGGGAGUCAGGGGCCCUGGGUUCUAAUCCCUGCUCCGCCU